UGUGUCAGUGUGCUGACUUGACUAUGACUUGCCCCAAACUGCAUGUGAUUAUCAUAAAGUGGGCAUGUCUGUAAAGGGGAGACUCGUGGGUACCCAUAUAAUCCAUUUUCAUUCACAUUAUCUCUAAGUCACAAGUCAAGGGACCCCUUUGAAAAUGCUAGUUUUUCCUCGUUAAAAAAUAUAGCAGAAGUUUGGAGCGUUAUUUUAGCCUCCUUCUCGACAACACCAUAUGUGUGAUUCAUGACGCAAUUCAAACUGGAUCAAAACAAUAUUUGACUCUCAACGUUGACUACUGUACAUAUUGUUUCUGAAAUAAGGUCCCAUUGGGUCCUGCCGAAGGGGAGGGACUCUGCCUCUUUAUAAUAAUGUAGGGAAAUGAAAAUUCCCACUGUGCUCUGUGCCUGGAAUCCCCUCUCUAUUAUCCACCCCAUGAUGCAUGUGUCAGCAUCACAUGUAAAAGUUUUCAUGAUGAGAUACCACUAGGUUUGUAUGCAUUUGGCUCUGAGAUUUCUGCCUUCACCCCAAUACAAUAGAAGUUCAAUUGAUUUUUAGUUAAAGGAAUCCAAUAGCAUGUCCAGAGCAAAUGUCUCCAGUGAACAGUUCUGAUUGGAUCUUGUUUUUACCAAAGAAAUAGUCGAUCCAGGUCCACCUCAAGGCUUUUGCCAAGCUUUAUAGUGUCAAAAGGAUUCUUUGGAAUGUGCUUAUCCAGUUAGGCUGUCCAGUUAAACAAACAAUUAAAAACACAACUGACAUCUUACUGCUGAAAGAAAAGUUUAUUGAUGCAUAAAAUGCUCAAAAAGAUUUACACAAAAAGAUUACACAAAAGAUUUACACAAAACACAAAAAAUAUACAAUCUGUUCAUAUAAAAAUAAAAUACAUAUAGUAUAUCAAUACAUUUUCAAAAAGAUAGAGGAAAACAUUUACAAGUAAUAUCUGUUGUUUGAUAGCAGAUUAUUACAUAUAUUAAAGUAAACACUGAUGUUCUGGAUCUUUCUCAUCCAACACAGAAAACGAUGCCGACUUUAAAGCUGCACAGCUGGUUACUAAAGCUCAAAUUCCUACAAC